rnacentral:rRNA from 1 species
ACUCAAAGGAAUUGACGGGGGCCCGCACAAGCGGUGGAGCAUGUGGUUCAAUUCGACGCAACGCGAAGAACCUUACCCAGGCUCGAACGGCAAGUGACAUUCGAUGAAAGUCGGCUUCCGCAAGGACACUUGUCGAGGUGCUGCAUGGCUGUCGUCAGCUCGUGUCGUGAGAUGUUGGGUUAAGUCCCGCAACGAGCGCAACCCUUGUUUCCUGUUGCCAUCACGUUAUGGUGGGCACUCUGGAGAGACUGCCGGUGACAAACCGGAGGAAGGUGGGGAUGACGUCAAGUCAGCAUGGCCUUUAUGUCUGGGGCCACACACGUGCUACAAUGGCAGAUACAAACCGUCGCGAUCCCGCGAGGGGGAGCUAAUCGGAGAAAGUCUGUCUCAGUUCGGAUUGCAGGCUGCAACUCGCCUGCAUGAAGUUGGAAUCGCUAGUAAUCGCGGAUCAGCACGCCGCGGUGAAUACGUUCCCGGGCCUUGUACACACCGCCCGU